rnacentral:tRNA from 1 species
GGGCCUGUAGUCUAGUGGUAGGACUGAAAACUAAAGCCGCUCUCACGCAGCGGAAACCCCGGUUCGAUUCCGGGCAGGCCCA